AGCAAGAGAAGGCAAUGCCACCCAAACGGAGUCUGCCAAGCUGACUGGGGACACUGACCCAGGGAGGACUCUGGGGGCCCUUUCAUCCACCCAGGUCACUCCCCUAAGCUCCAGGAGCGAACCUCACCCCCACCGGCACGGCACGCAGCCCAGCUCGGCUGCUGGGGCAGGAGAGGGCGGGGACCUCACGCACCCUGCCUGGCCCGGGACGCAGCAUGAGAUCACGAUCGGUCACGGAACUCCCGGAUCUAUGAAAUGUUUACGAGGGAAAAGACAAUCAGAUCUCAUGGUUGUUAUUCCGCGAGAUCCUUGACCUGAUCUCGGCCGCUGCUGCUUAUAAACAGAUCGUGUUACCUGUG